GUUAAUCGGAAUUACUGGGCGUAAAGGGCAUGUAGGUGGUUUGUUAAGCCUUAUGUGAAAGCCCUAGGCUUAACCUAGGAAUUGUAUAAGGAACUGACAAGCUAGAGUGCAGUAGAGGAAGGUAGAAUUCCAGGUGUAGCGGUGAAAUGCGUAGAUAUCUGGAGGAAUACCAGUGGCGAAGGCGACCUUCUGGACUGACACUGACGCUGAGGUGCGAAAGCGUGGGUAGCAAACAGGAUUAGAUACCCUGGUAGUCCACGCUGUAAACGAUAUCAACUAGCCGUUGGGUUAUUAAAUAAUUUGGUGGCGUAGCUAACGCGAUAAGUUGAUCGCCUGGGGAGUACGGCCGCAAGGCUAAAACUCAAAUGAAUUGACGGGGGCCCGCACAAGCGGUGGAGCAUGUGGUUUAAUUCGAUGCAACGCGAAGAACCUUACCUACUCUUGACAUCCAAAGUACUUUCCAGAGAUGGAAGGGUGCCUUAGGGAACUUUGAGACAGGUGCUG
rnacentral:rRNA from 1 species